UACGUAGGGGGCUAGCGUUGUCCGGAUUUAUUGGGCGUAAAGCGUGCGUAGACGGUUACAUAAGUCGGGUGUGAAAGCCCCGGGCUCAACCUGGGAAUUGCAUUCGAGACUGCGUAGCUAGGGUGCGGAAGAGGGAAGCGGAAUUUCCGGUGUAGCGGUGAAAUGCGUAGAUAUCGGAAGGAACACCAGUGGCGAAAGCGGCUUCCUGGUCCAGCACCGACGUUCAGGCACGAAAGCGUGGGGAGCAAACAGG
rnacentral:rRNA from 1 species